AUGGUGAACCUCCUAAUGCUCAUGGAAACAUGCCCUAGCAAGAGCAACCUGAUCCUAUGUAGUAACUUGUCAUGCCUGAUUGAUGCUUAGGACUAGCUGGAGUUACAUGGCAGUAAAACUUCUUCUGUGCUAAGCACACCUAUGCACAUACAGACACAGUGGUAGCUUAUUGCAAAGCUCCUGGAACUACUGCCACUGCCUUUGUUGUUCAACAUACAUAGCACAUAACUAUAGCAAUAAAUACCCAGAUAGCACAGAUGUAAAUUUGAUGAAGUACUGUUUUCUCUAAUAAUCUAGAUUAAAAUGUUAAUUUUUCCUCUGCAUUUAUCACACACUCUUCUAGCACAUAUUGGCAAUAGGUUCACUCAUCCUUCUAAAAGGCUGCAAAUAGCUGCCAGGUUCACAGCAGCAGGUAGAUGCAAGCCUUUGUGCAUUGGUAUUAUUGAAAACAGGUCCGCUACCUGCUGCUUCUUAACCUUAAAGAUUUAAGCAUGAAGAAGAGUCUGUUUCUCCUGGUUCAGGAUGUUCCUAAGCUGCAGAAAGCUGGACGGGCCAUACUGGAAGAUGUUUUAUCAGGUGCUUCUCCUAUUCCUACACUUUUUUCCCCAAAUACACUCUAUUAUACACUUAGAGCGAGGCUUGGCUAAAUGGCUCUUUGCUCUGGCUGAACAGGGCUUUGCCAAGGGGCUCUGUUUAUUCUUAAUUAUUGCAGCAGCCUUCAGGCCUGAGUCUACAAAACACUAACAGAGGGCAACCUCACCCCAGUAAUAUCAGGGCAGGCAAUUAACACAUGACUGUCUGCAGCUCUCAGCAGAUGGCUGAUACACAUGCAAUCCUUAGCUCUUACUGAGAGGGACUUUUCCAAGGAGACCUCAUUUCUCCCUACAGCAGCAAUAAAUAACCUGGAAGUGCAGCUGCCAACUGGCUUUAAAGGUCAACAGAAAAUCCCACCCAGCCUUUCUGCUGCCAGGCGGCUGUCAGCUGGCUUUCUGCUCUGAGGUGAGCAUGGCCUGCAGGAUGCAAAACACCUAUCAGCUGUGUUCUGGGUUUUGGUUGGAACACACACGUGCUUUGGUGUGAGGCCACUGAUUUGCUUGUGCUUGUACAAAGAAAUCUCAAGUGGUGUCUCUGCUUUGGCCUUGACACACUGGCAAAUGGAAUGCAUCUAGCUAAGCAUAUAAGUCUCACAAACUGCCUCUCAAUCUGGACCUGUGGAGCUGAGAGAAAGCACCUUAGCAAGGAGGAGAGAGACAGCGAGAAAUCAGAGUAAAACUGCAGAUGACGGGAACAUGCUGUAAAACUGCUUUCAGCCCCUGAAAGAAGCCAGUGUAGUGAACAACUUGUUCUGCUAAGGGACAAGUGUUGAGUUACUGCCCUUUCCUGAGGGCCUCUGUGAACACACCUAUGAAAAGCAAACAGGUAACAGGGGCUUCUGUAUGAGAAAGCAUAGGUAGAAACCUGAAUUGGCAUAAAGUUUGCAACCUUGACUCUGUGCUUUUUAAGUAUUUUGAAAAAGAAUUAUUUAAUAUUGCUGUUUUUUUUCUGACCAGCUUACAUGUCUGCUUUAUUUUAACGAUAGAUACUUGGGCCAUACAAGUAGUAGUUGCCG